GCCAGUGUGGUGUAGUGAUUUGAGCAUGGACUACAACUCUGGGGACCAGGGUUCAAUUCCCAGUUUGGGCA